UACGUAGGGUGCAAGCGUUGUCCGGAAUUAUUGGGCGUAAAGAGCUUGUAGGCGGUUUGUCGCGUCUGCUGUGAAAUUUCGGGGCUCAACCCCGAACUUGCAGUGGGUACGGGCAGACUAGAGUGUGGUAGGGGAGACUGGAAUUCCUGGUGUAGCGGUGAAAUGCGCAGAUAUCAGGAGGAACACCGAUGGCGAAGGCAGCUCGCUGGGACGGUACUGACGCUGAGGAGCGAAAGCGUGGGGAGCAAACAGG
rnacentral:rRNA from 1 species